rnacentral:rRNA from 1 species
GUGUCAGCAGCCGCGGUAAUACGUAGGUGGCAAGCGUUGUCCGGAAUUAUUGGGCGUAAAGCGUGCGCAGGCGGUUUCUUAAGUGUGAUGUGAAAUCCCCGGGCUUAACUGUGGGGCUGCAUUGCAAACUGGAAGACUUGAGUGCAGGAGAGGAAAGUGGAAUUCCUAGUGUAGCGGUGAAAUGCGUAGAGAUUUGGAAGAAUACCAGUGGCGAAGGCGUCUUUCUGGUUUGAAACUGACGCUGAGGAGUGAAAGCAUGGGGAGCAAAAAGGAUGAGAUACCCUGGUAGUCCAUGCCGUAAACGAUGAGUGCUAAGUGUUAGGGGGUUUCAGUCCCUUAGUGCUGCAGCUAACACAUUAAGCAUGCCGCCUGGGGAGUACGGCCGCAAGGUUGAAACUUAAAUGAAUUGGCGG